AUUGAACGCUGGCGGAAUGCUUUACACAUGCAAGUCGAACGGUAGAGGGGGCAACCCCUCGAGAGUGGCGAACGGGUGAGUAAUAUAUCGGAACGUGCCCAGUCGUGGGGGAUAACGUAGCGAAAGUUACGCUAAUACCGCAUACGAUCUAAGGAUGAAAGCGGGGGAUCGCAAGACCUCGCGCGAUUGGAGCGGCCGAUAUCAGAUUAGGUAGUUGGUGGGGUAAAGGCUCACCAAGCCAACGAUCUGUAGCUGGUCUGAGAGGACGACCAGCCACACUGGAACUGAGACACGGUCCAGACUCCUACGGGAGGCAGCAUUGGGGAAGUUUGGACAAUGGACGCAAGUCUGAUCCAGCCAUUCCGCGUGCAGGAUGAAGGCCCUCGGGUUGUAAACUGCUUUUAUACGGAACGAAAAGGUCUCUCUUAAUACGGGGGGCUCAUGACGGUACCGUAAGAAUAAGCACCGGCUAACUACGUGCCAGCCGCCGCCGUAA
rnacentral:rRNA from 1 species